rnacentral:rRNA from 1 species
UACGAAGGGGGCUAGCGUUGCUCGGAAUCACUGGGCGUAAAGGGUGCGUAGGCGGGUCUUUUAAGUCAGGGGUGAAAUCCUGGAGCUCAACUCCAGAACUGCCUUUGAUACUGAGGAUCUUGAGUUCGGGAGAGGUGAGUGGAACUGCGAGUGUAGCGGUGAAAUGCGCAGAUAUCAGGAAGAACACCCUGGCUAAGGCGGCUCUCUAGUACGGUACUGACGCUGAGACGCGAAAAGCGUGGGGGAGCGAAACAGGG